rnacentral:tRNA from 1 species
CUAAUAUGACAGAUCAUAUGUAUUGGAUUUAAACCCCAUCUAUAAAGGACUAUCCUUUUUUUAGAA